rnacentral:lncRNA from 1 species
GUAGCGUAGCCAUGAAACCAUCGGGGGGGGGGAGGGGGGGGAGGGGGUUGGAAGGUAGAGGGGGAGUCUUUUUUUUUUUUAAAAAAAAAAAGGACCUAUUUUCCUAUUAUUUUUUUUAGGGCUGCACCCGGCUCUGCAGCAGCAUCCUCUCUCUGCAGCGGGGCCGGGUGGAGGCCAAGGGGGGGCACCGCGAGCAGGGGGCUUCCCCACAUCACCCCCUCCCCUCCCCAUCCAUCCAUCCAUCCAUCCAUCCAUCCAUCCAUCCAUCCAUCCAUCCAUCCAUCCAUCCACUCAUCCAUCCAUCCCCGGGCAGAGGGCGCAGGGCAGUAAGGGGGAAGGGGGGGGGGGGGGGUUGGGAGGAGGUGUGGGGGGGGGAUGCUGGGCAGGGCUGCGGGCUCUCUCCCGGCGGGGUCGCUCCUUGUUUUAAAAGGCGGCAUUGCUGCGGACAACACCCGGAGCAUCUCAGCGGGAGCGGGGCCGGGGGGUGCAGCCGCCCCUUGUUUUCGGCGCACGGAGUCAGCAGCUGGGAUUUUUUUUUUUUUUUUGGCUGAAUAAUCCUUUCGGGGAGGGGGUGCGCGGGGAGGGGGGGUUGGGGGGGGGGGGGGGGGGCUUGGGGGAGGAGGGAGGGAAAGUGGAUCAACAUCACCGAAGGAGGACAGCGAGCAAGAUUAGGGCUGGCUAAUGAUAAAUGAGAAGGCGCCGCUGACAGCUCCUCUCUCCGCGGCUGCCGCCCGGCAGCUCCGCGCUGCGCGCUCCGUGCGCACCUCCGCCCGCACCCGCGGCCGCCGCUUCGCUCCCCUCCGCCCAUCUCUUCUCAGUUUUAAUCUCUUUUUAUUAUUAUUAUUAUCAUUAUCAUCGUUAUUAUUGUUAUUAUCAUAUAUAUUUUUUAUUAUUAUUUUUUCUUAAUUUUUCACCUCCGCGUAGCGCGCAGAGCGCUUGGGGGGGGGGGCUCCAUUUUAACCCCCCCCACCUUCGCCCCAAAACCGCUUUCCUCGGGAUUACGCCGCAUCGAGGGACCGGAGCAGGGGGUAUUUUCCUUCUUUUUACCGGGAUUUGGGCUGGGGGGCUUGGGGGCUCAAUGCGGGGUCGGGAUGCGCUGCGGGCACAGCCUCCCCUCACCCCCACCACCCCCCCCCCCCGGAGGGAUGGGGAUGGCGAUGGGGGGGGAUGCGGGGCUGUUCGCCGCCCCCCCGCACCCCACCCGGGUGACCUUUCCCAUCAAAGCCCGCUCGUCCCCAGCAAGGUGCAUUGGGGCAGCGGGCGGUGGGGGGGGGAGGGGGGGGCGGAGGGGAGAGGGCGCCGCAGCCGGGCUCUCCCCCUCCCUCUGCUUUCCCCCUCCCUCCUCCCCUCCCUCGCUGCUCCCUCCUCUCUCUGCUGCAUUUUGCAUGAGCUAUCUAGGUCAUUAGCAUUUUAGCGUAUGCAAGACUUGACAAAGCUGAUGAGAAGCCAGAUGGGCCCCUCUCCUCUCUUUUUUUUUUUUUCCUGCCUUUUUUUUUCUUUUUCCUCUCUUUUUUUUUCCCUUUUUUUUUCUUUUUUUUUCCCCUUUUUUUUUUUCCUUUUUUUUUUUUUUUUUUUUUUUUUUGCACCACUUGGGAUCCGAGCGAAAAGGAUUUGACUGCAGCAGCAGCGCAGCAGCACAGCAGCACAGGCGGACGGGGGAAGGCUCCUCGCGCUCCUCCAGACCCCUUUUAGAGCAGCAGCAGCAGCAGCAGCGCAGCGCAGCGCAGCGGGGCUCAGGCUGCAGGGCAGCUCCUGGGGUCAGCGCUCCCCCUCCAGAUGGAAGGAGGUUGGGCAAAGCAAAGCCACUUUUUUAUUACCAUUUCCCCACUUUAACCCUUCCUUCUGAUUACCGCUAUUUUUCCGGUGGCUGUUUAUGCGCCUCUCCCCCGCCUCCCCCCCUACCCCCCCUUCCUUUAAUCCUUAUAAUUUAAAUCAAAAGUGUCGGGGAUGCAGAUGGGGGGAGCGCUGUGUCUGCAGGGCGAGGCCGGGCGUAAAUCUCUUGGAGGGAUAAACAUGUCAUUUGUUCCCUUUGUAUGGUAAUGCGUCCCCCCCACUCCCGCAGAUGCCCCCCCCCCCCCCUUCACCCCCCAGCAGCUGCCCCGGCCAUACAUCCUCCCUACAAAAGAUCCCAAUUACCCAUCGGCUGCCUCAUUAUACCCCUAACACAGAGGCGUGUGCGAGCGGCGGCGGAGGGGAGGGCUGGGGGAGAGGAGGGGGUGGCAGCACCUGAAUUAUUCAGAAAAUGCAAUAAAAUAAAAUGAAAUAAAAGAAAAUUCAAGAAACUGCAGAGGGGAGGGAGGUGGAGGGGGCCGCGACCCCGCGGCCUAACGCCGAGCGGUGCCCCCGCAGAGCCCCUGCAGCCCCGCGCUGCUCCACCACCACCCCACCUUCUUAUAUUCUUCCUCCUUUUUUAUCCCUUUUUUUCCCCCCUCCACCCUUUUUUUUCCUCCUCUUAUAGGCAGACAGGUGCCUGAUAGCCCAUCGCCUACCCUGCAUCCCGCUGGGGCCCUUCUCUCAUCCCUUCUCCUAUCCUCUUUCCCGUCCUUUUCUCCCAAGCUGUUUCUCCUACCCAUUUUCCCAUCCCCUUUCCCAUCUCUUCUCCAUUCCCUUUUCCUAUCCCUUCUCCUGAACCUUUCCCCCAUCUCUUUCUCCUAUCUUUUUCUCCAUCCUCUUUUCCCAUCCUUUUCCCUUCCUUUUCCCCAUCCCUUUUCUCAUCAUUCUCCCAUUCCUUCUCCCAUCCCUUCUCAUCUCUUUCCCCCAUUCCUUUAACCCAUUCCUUUUCCCAUCCUUCUCCCAUCCCUUUCCCAUCCCCUGUCCAAUUCCAUUUCCCGUCUCUUCUCCCCAUUCCUUUUUCCCAUCCCUUUUCCAUUCUCCUUCCAUUCCCUUCUUCCAUUUCCUCUCCCGCCCUUCUUCUUCCCAUCCUCUUUCCCAUCCCCUCUCUUUGCAGCUGGAGCCCAUCCACUGCCCUCGCCCACAGCUGGCCCAGUGUUCCCAGCAGGAGCCCAGCACUGGCCAAAGCCAACCCUUACUGGAGGUUCCUCUUUCUCACCCCAUGGCCUGGGGCCCCCAGAUCUCUUUGCAGCUCCGUGAGCAGACUCUUGCCUCUGGGAUGGGAGCAGAGAUGAUGGCUCGGGGUCCCUGGGACAGCUCCUUGCACCCCCCCAGGGGUGCUGCAGGUAUUUGGGGACAGACCUACCGGGUGCGCUGUGGAUGCCGCAAGGAUCCCAUCGGGUUGCGCCGUGCCAAUAAAGCUCUUCUUGCUGCGGGUUCCCGCAUCCUCUCCUUUGUUCACGGAGGUUUCUCGCUCUUCUCUUUCCAGCCUUGGUUUCCCCACCAAGGUCCAGAUGGGGGGCAAAUAAAUACCAAAAGCCACCCCAAAAUAAAAACCCUAAUAAAAAUUAGGCAGCCCACAGCCGCCUGCUUGGUAAUGCUACGAGAGCUCACCCUCGACCUCCAAGAGAACCCAAGCUCCUGUUUAAGGAAUAACAGGGAGAAUAGAAGAGAUUUGGGGUCUCUUCCAUUUGGGGUCCCUUCCACUUGGAGCCUCUUCUAUUUGGAGGCCCUCACAUUUGGGGUCCCUUCAUUUGCGAUCCCUUCCAUUUGGGGUCCCUUCUAUUCGGGAUCCCUCCCGUUUGGGGUCCCUUCCAUUUGGAGUCUCUUCUAUCUGGAGACCUUUCCAUUUGGGAUCCCUUCUAUGUGGAAUCCCUUCCAUUUGGGGUCCUUUCCCUUCAUUCUCUGCACACUGAGCAUCUCUGCAGACGGCCUCACCCCUCUGCUGCCAGUGAGCCAGCCGAGCCGCAUUUCCAUUACUGAGUAUGGGAGAGGGAAAUGCUAUCAAAAUAACCUCCCAUCCCUGCAGAAAAUAACCCAUUUAUCCCUUGCAAAAGGGCUAGGAUAAAGAGACACCGUGAGCUCCAACCCAAAGGCCUGGGACCACGCUGGGGUCGCACCAGGAGCUGCCAAAGAAGGGGAGCUCUUACUAAUAUUAAUUCCCAUAAUUAUUACGGUGCCCAGAAUAAAUCAGGCCGGGGUUUCUCUGAGGCCUUUGCCCCUGGGAUGAGCUGCGAGGUGGCCCCUCCUCCCCGGGGUGGACACUUUGGGUAUGGGAAUGGCGGCGUGGGGUGGGGGAGGCAGAUGCGUUCAGGUUUUUUUUUUUUUUGCUGCGAGGCGGAGGAGGAGGUGGCAUGGGUUUAUUCUGAGCACGUCAGCUCCCUGUGUCCCCUCCUUCCUCCCUCUGCCUGCAGUCCGAUGUAAACACAGCAACUCAAACCUGCAGCCCUGAACCCUCCUGGAAUACUGGGGGAGUGAAGCAGCGCCAUCGCUGCAGCGAUGCCCCCGGAUAACCCAUGCGCAUCCAUCCCCAAGGUCGGGCACCAGAAAGGGACAGGGAUGGGACAGUGGUGGAGCAGGGAUCCAAGGUGCCAGCCACAUCCACCUGCAGUGCUGUGCCAUUUUUAGCCCCCCCCCUGCCCAUGGCCAACCCCUUCCCAAUCUGCUUGCGUUGGUUCGACGUGAUGUUGGAAAUUCCUCUCUUUCCUUCAUUUUCCCUGCUCUCUGUCAAGUCCCAGCUUGGCGAAUGGCCCCAGGCAGCACAGCCAUCCACCCAUGCCCAUGCAAAACGGUGGGUUUCACACAGCAAAAAGUCUUCUUCACGUCCCUGUAGCUUUCAGCUUCUUUCCUGGGUUUAUUUUUAUGCCGGAUGCCUCCUUGAGCAGCAACCCAACGCAUCUCCUAGCAGCAGCAGUCCAAGUGGGCGUUUCAGUGGGAAAUCUAAUCAGGAUUCUGAGGGGAAAAUCCUUUCUAAAUGUCUCGGCUAAGCGAUGAGCUCAUUCAAUUGCCUAGGCUAUAAAAAGGACCAGCAGACCUGUAUUUUUUCCAGGACCAUUUUUCCGGGAUCUGCAGCUCAUUCCCAGCCACACACCUCCCAGGAGCAGGGCUACAAAUCACCUCCAUCGCCCUAAAUGUAGCCUGAUGAUGAGAUCAUAAGCAUGGAUCUUGGUGGCAUCGUCACAUUAUGGGGUCGGGCAGUGAAACCGCGUGCGGUACCCCGAGGAGGAGGGAUGGCUGAGCAUGGCACAGUGGUGAUGCUCCCACAUACCACCCUAUCCCUGUUGUUAAAACAUCUCCAAACAAAGCAUCCCCUAAAAAUAUAUGUUUCCCUCCAUCCAAGAUGCCCUGAAUCAGGCCAAUAGUGAGAUUAAUUCCAAUCAGGACCAUGGGGACCCAAGAGACUAGGUUUGCUCCAAGCUCACAUGGGUGAUGAGCGACCAAAGGAGGAAAACCUACAGGCUUUGCCCAUUGUGGGUCUGGGAGGAGAGGAGCUGGAAGGCAGUCCUCUGCUGAGGAUGCAGGAUGCUCUGUUUCCAUGGCACUUGCAGAGUUGUGUGUGCGUGUGCACAGUCCCAAGCCAUGCAGCGAUGAUGGGGUGGUGAUGCUGCUAUGGCAUCCCAGUGUCUAUAGUCCUUUUCACAUGCUUUGCUCCACAGCCAGGGAACAGGGCUGAAAAUCAACGCUCAGAGGGGGAAGGGAACCAGGAGUCAGCACUGCUGUGCUCCCUGGUUUGGAAUGAGGCUGCUCUCCAAGAGGGGAAUGAGUCUGCUGGGGGAUGAGUAAGGAAGAGGGAUCCCCAUGGCUCCCUGUUACAGUCAGACACAUCCUGACCUCCUCAAUGGGAUCACAUGGGUUAGAGGGCAAGAGCUGCAUAAGAAGAGUUCAAGAGAUUUCUGCCCUCAUCCAGAGUUUUAAUGGGGACACGAUGCAAGAUGUACAAAUCUUUAAUUGCUAUCAGUACUUGGAAGGAUAUGAAUGGAAUCAGCACUCCUCACGUGAACCUGUACAUCAUGGCACAUAAAUACAUUUAUACCUGUCCCAGAAACCCCAAUCCCUAAAAUAUCCAUCCUCUCAUUCCAUGUAAACGUCAUGAUUUUAGGGCACGACACCGUCCCAGCCCUAAAGGUCACAUUAGGAGGAUCCUGAGCCCUUCUCGACCCACGGCAAGAAAGCAGCAUUUCCAAGUCAGUCUGGGUCGCUCCCAUGGUCUUUUGGGAUCAUUUCAUCCAAAGUGUGGGAUUUAGGUUAGAUAUUAGGAAGAAGUGCUUCACAGUGAGAGUGGUGAAGAGGUGGCACAGGCUGCCCAGAGAGCUGUGGGUGCCCCAUUCCUGGCAGUGCCCAAGGCUAUGGAUGGGGCUGUGGGCAGCCUGGGCUGUGGGAGGUGCCCCUGCCCACAGCAUGGAUUGCACUGAGGGGUCUUUAUGGGCCCUUCCAACCCAACCCAUAUUGAUGCACCCACAUCUUUCGGUGACCCAUAGCUGCCUUCCCAAAUGUGUUGAGGUUUUCAGCAGCACACAAAGGCUGGCAAAUGCUGCUUUUGCCCUGCCAUUGCUUCGUGCUCGCUUUGCCCCACUGAUGACAGACCAAAAAUAAACCAAGAGCCCAUCUCCCCUUCAGCAUCCCCUCCUCCCCCAGACACAAAGCACGGCGCGGAGCGUAUCCAGAUGGGGAAAGGCAAAUGGCUGGGGAGGGAGGAGGCUGGGGAUGGAGAGACAGCAGCCAUCAGUGCACAAACCUGACACAAAUCCCUUGGCCACGGCGACAUGUGAGGAUUUCUCCUUUUUUAUUUCAUUCCUUUUUAUGAACGUUUCGUUAUUUGUACGGAGACGUUUUUAUUUUAAACCAAGAUGUGCUGAAGUGCUUCCAUGUGGCAACAGCUGUAGAGAUGAGCUAAUACAAAGCUCAGCAAUUUCCCCGUGAGCACGGGUCUUCCUCUGCAGUCAUCAAACUGAUAACAUCUUAUACAGAGAAGACAAAAGUAAUGCGUACGCGUGUGUAAUUUGCAAUGUCAAUGUGUUCGACUGUGUGUUGGAAUCAUAAAAGUUAUUUCAUUUAUUACAGUCGUGCAUAAGGCUUCUUAGAGCUGCAGACUUGGAAUAGGCAAUUAUGCCCAUAGGUUAAUAACAUACAGCCAUUUGACUGACAACUGGAAUUAGAUUUAAACACGGCAGAGUGGUAUACUAAAGGCACUUUAUUAAAACAGUGGCUGGGGAUUUGUUCAAAAUACCAGUCUCAUACCUUUCCUGGUAAACUACUUAUAAGCAGCACUAUAUCGUGGCCUGUUAUAUUGCAUUUGUUCUCCUUUCCCCUUCUACUUCGUGUUGAGCCAUAUAGCGAGGGAUUUGGCUGGUCAGGUUUUGCUGGAGAGAAGGCAGCCUCUCCGGUCAAUAAAUUCAGCUAAUAUUGUGUUUUUCUUAUCCUGUUAUCAGGAAAGUUUGCUCUCCUGAGUUAGUGCAGCAUGGGGAUGCGUUGCCUGCAGCAGGGUUGGGAUGUCUGCUCAUGGAGGGUUUUAUACCAGCUUAGGAAGACUGGAGAGCAAAUUUCAUCCUGCCUUGGGACCAGGGUUAGAUCCACUAUUUCCCAACAUUCUUUGGAAAAAAAAAACAAAAACGUUAUGUGGUUUCAGAGAUGAUCAAAGUUUAAGGGUCACCAAAAUUUAUAGGGUUGGACCAAGUGGCAUCUAAAGGUCCCACUCCAACCUGUGUUGUUCCACAAGUCUAUCUAAAGUUGGAACUAGCAUUAAAAACCCAAAGGCACUUUUUGCUCAAUUGCCAAAAGACAAGAACCACUACAUCUGAAAUGCCCAUAAAAUUAACUCCUAAUUCUCCUCUCUUGUCUCCUUGCCUUGUGUUCACGGGGCUGUAGACAUCAGCCUAUCAAGAGCUGGCUUAUGGCACAGCUCAGACCAGGAGCCAUCUUUGAGGCAGGGGUUAAAAACCACUAGUCUGAAUGCACUGGACGUGACUCAUGGAAUCAUAGAAUCAUAGAAUGGCCUGCACUGAAAAGGACCACAAUGCUCAUCUAGUUUCAAUCCCCCUGCUAUGUGCAGGGUCACCAACUACCAGACCAGGCUGCCCAGAGCCACAUCCAGCCUGGACUUGAUUCAAGGUUUUCUAUUUGAAAUUAGAAAAAAUGGAAACAUCCAGAGAGGAAAGGGCAACGUGUUUCCUAUGUCUGAACCCCAAAGCCUUGUGAUGCCCAGCAGUGGUCCCAGUGCUGCCACCUGUCCCCCAGGCACCCCAUGGGCUGGUAGUGCCUGUGGUGAGGGUAGCCCUGUCCCCACACCCCCAGCCUUGCCAGCAGCUCUCUCCAUUGGAUCUACAGUCCUGACAACAUCAUACGAGGACAAAGUGCCAGGGGAUGAAUUCACCAAGGGAUGAAUUAAGCAGCGGCACAUGGAGCUGUGUGGUGGUCACCAAUUCCAGCCCAGGACAUUUCUCUUUGCUAAAAUAUCCAAGAGAAAAUAAACUUCUUCUUUUCUGUAAGCUCUGAAAGAUUUAUAAUAUUUCAGUCACUCCUCACCCCUAUCACUGAUAAAACUCAUCUUGGCACGACUUCAGCGCUGGAUCAGCCUUGAAGGCUCGGCAGAGAUCUCUGUGAUCUAAAGUCCUUGGCCUUAACCCAGUCUGCAUUCA